AGAUAUGAUCCAGAGUACCACGGGACACGUGAAACCCUGUGGGAAGCAGGAGGGACCACCCUCCAAGGCUAAAUACUACCUAGUGACCGAUAGCGUAUAGUACCGUGAGGGAAAGGCGAAAAGAACCCCGGGAGGGGAGUGAAAUAGAACCUGAAACCCUGCACUUACAAGCUGUGGAAGCACAUUUCUUGUGUGACCGCGUACUUUUUGUAGAACGGGCCAACGAGUUACGUUAAGUAGCAAGGUUAAGCACUUAAGGUGUGGAGC
rnacentral:rRNA from 1 species